AGUGCAGUGUUGAAAACUGGUAUGUUCAGGUAUUGCACAUGUAAGUAACAUCUUGUGUGGCUGCAUAUUUCUUUAAAGCCUCCCUCCAGCAAGAAAUCAGUGCUUCUUCUUGUCCCUACAGUGUGGUGUUUGAAUGAUGUAUGUGCAGAGUUUGACACUAGAAGGAUGUUUUCACAUUCAUCUGCUGAAAGUCAAAAGUUUCAUGGAUUUGUAUCCUUUACGUACUACACCGAGCUGGUCCUCGCUGUCCCACAGAGGCCACUGAUUGUGCCUGUCCUCAGACCUCAGCAGAGCAUCCAGCACCGCCUCCUGAGCCAGAACAUGUUCUUCUCUCUGUAAACAAAGACGAUUAUUUGACAGCUCAAUAUUUCAUCAGCCCUGUCCAGGAUCUUCUCCACCUCCUUCAGACCCUCCUGCUCCUUCACAUCCCAGUCCUUUAGGGAGAGAUCAACCAACCUGGAAAAAAAGCAUGGAAAGUGC